UGUUGUGGAGUGCUACUAUGGAAUGAUUAUUGUGUCUUUAUUAUUCAAACAUUCUGUGUUUGAAAGUAAAACUAAUUAUUUUGUAAUUUAAAAAAAAGAUUGCAAAAAAAAAGUCAUCUUAAGACUCAAAAAUAAAGAAAUUGAUAAAAUUAUUUGCAGUGCAUAUAAAUCUUUUAAAAUCUUUAUUUUUCUUUGUGCACUUUAAUACUUUUUAUCGCAAAACCACAAAUGUUGCUUUCUUUUCUGCCGUCUUUUUUUGUGGGUCUAAAACUUUUUUUUGCAAGUUGAAAAGUUUUGCUUGCGAGUUAAGCUGUCUCUCAGUGGGCGGUCUCUACCCACCAGGAUGAAAGGCCUUUUCCUAUUGGUCACUCUCGAUUGAAGUCACAGGUUGACCACGCCCCAGUUUCCCCGGAAUCCGCUGCACUGGCGCCACAGUCUGACAGAAGAGCGACCGAGGUUGUAUCAUGACCAGCAACAGGUCGAAUACUGGUUAAGAUAACUAACUUAACAUCUUAAACUCAGUGACAAGUCAACUUAAUUAUUAUCUCCUCUCAUGCUCUCCCAUCUAAAUACGUAACGUUAGCUAAGCCCGUUGUAGAUUUGAUUAGCCAACGGUAUAGCUAGCUCCCAAUAGUAAAGCGUCAGGACAAUAUUUUCAGAGAUUAUAGAUUAUUAUAGUUCCAGUGAAGUAAGGAAGAAGAUUUGGUGUUGAUGGAGGAGGUAACAUCUUCAAGACAAAACCUUAGACCUGAUGCAACAUCAUCCAAUGUCACAAUCACCCUUCAGGAGGCACUUGAAGACCAGGUCCCAAUAUGCAUAGGAACAUUUCCAGUGUCAGAAGUAGACCUGCCAUGCCAGCUUUUGUGGAGACAGAUAAUGGUAAUAGUGACUCACACUGAAGUAGCAGUGACCCCCCUCCACUGGAACGUGAUUUGUACCGAGGGGGCCUGGGGUCUUGAUGUUGCUUAGGGUCCACAAAGUGGUAAAGCCACCCCUGACCAGUCAGCUCUGGUGGUCAGACUUUGCAGCUGUUUUGAACGUGCUGAAAAAUCAGGAACAUUUUACAGGAACAGCUCCAUUUAGGGUCAGAACACCAAAAACCCAGACUGUUCCUGGAGAACGGAGAGGUCUGGUAAUCCUAUUUUAAAGGCCAUUAAUAUACAGCUGAAUGAAAAUACCAGAAAUAUCACUCUCACUGCUACAGUGUAUUUACAUUAUUCUGUCUCUGAGUUGUAGAAUAUAUUAUAGCAGUAUACAAAAAAGUAAAAAGCAUGUGCUGUGAAAUGAGCUCUACGUGAAUGAAAUUAGAUUUGUAGCAUUCUCUAGAACAGUGGUUUUCAAGCCUGUCCUGGAGGCACCCCUGCCCUGCACAUUUUGCAUGUCCCUCUCAUCUAACACCUGAUUCAAUUCAUCAGCUCAUUAGUAGAGACUGCGAGACCUGAUUUGGGUGUGUCUAAUAAGGGAGACAUACAAAAUGUGCAGGGCACGGGUGCCUCCAGGACAGGUUUGAACCACUGCUCUAGAGAAAGUUCAGCAGGGAAAAGUUCCCUCAUGUGGAGACACAAGGACAACAGGCCUAUUUGAUUUUCAUGCAAAUCGUUUCUGAAGAUUUUUUCAUAAAUUGUUUUUUUAAACUUUUCAAAAGUUUCUUAAAUAACAGAUAUACAGAGUGACCGUGCUGAACACCACUGUAUGUGUGUGUGACAAGGCCAGUGCAUCUCCCCCAGCGAACCACUCACACCACACACUGACCCCGCGAACCACUCACAACACACACUGGCCCAGCUUACCGAUGACAACACACACUGGCCCAGCUAACCAGUCACAACACACUGGCCCAGCUAACCAAUCACAGCACACACUGGUCCAGCUAACCAGUCACAACACACUGGCCCAGCUAACCAAUCACAGCACACACUGGCCCAGCUAACCACUAGCCCAGCUAACCAAUCACAGCACAUUUCGUAUU
ensembl:lncRNA